UACGAAGGGGGGCUAGCGUUGCUCGGAAUCACUGGGCGUAAAGGGCGCGUAGGCGGCCAUUCAAGUCAGGGGUGAAAGCCUGUGGCUCAACCACAGAAUUGCCUUUGAUACUGUUUGGCUAGAGACCGGAAGAGGUAAGUGGAACUGCGAGUGUAGAGGUGAAAUUCGUAGAUAUUCGCAAGAACACCAGUGGCGAAGGCGGCUUACUGGUCCGGUUCUGACGCUGAGGCGCGAAAGCGUGGGGAGCAACAGG
rnacentral:rRNA from 1 species